CAGUCCACGCCGUAAACGAUGAGUGCUAGCUGUCGGGACAUUAGUCUCGGUGGCGCAGCUAACGCAGUAAGCACUCCGCCUGGGAAGUACGGUCGCAAGAUUAAAACUCAAAGGAAUUGACGGGGACCCGCACAAGCGGUGGAGCAUGUGGUUUAAUUCGAGGCAACGCGAAGAACCUUACCAGGACUUGACAUCCUUAUCGCGCGCACCAGAGAUGGAGCGUUUCAGUUCGGCUGGAUAAGUGACAGGUGCUGCACGGCUGUCGUCAGCUCGUGUCGUGAGAUGUUGGGUUAAGUCCCGUAACGAGCGCAACCCUUGUCCUUAGUUGCCAGCACGUAAUGGUGGGGACUCUAAGGAGACUGCCGGUGACAAACCGGAGGAAGGUGGGGACGACGUCAAGUCAUCAUGGCCCUUAUGGGUAGGGCUACACACGUGCUACAAUGGGCAGUACAGAGGGUUGCGAAGCCGCGAGGUGGAGCUAAUCUCAGAAAACUGUUACG
rnacentral:rRNA from 1 species